GCGAGGGUAGCCAAGCUGGUCAAAGGCGGUGGACUCAAGAUCCAUUCUCGCAGGAGUUCGCGGGUUCGAAUCCCUCCCCUCGCA
rnacentral:tRNA from 1 species